CAGCAGACACUGAAAGGACUCUGAUAGUUCGAGUGAAAGUAGCAGUUCCUCCUUAAGGUCAGAGAUUGCAGCAUCUGAGGGCCUCUUCAAAAGAAGACGUAGUUGAUGAAGGCGUUCUGGAGCAGGACCAGAAAGACCACGACCAAGUAGCCUUGAGAUCUUAGGCAGCAUCUCCCUGAGGUUCCUCUCUAUCUCCCCACACAUCCACCAACCACUGGAACACAUCUGCAAAGUUCUGCCGGGCCAGCUCAGCUUCCCCUCAGAAGAAGUGCCGCCACCUGCCAGAUGAAGGAGCCUUUUGGGAGGCAGCUGGCAUCGUGAUUGGACUGUACUUUGGUCUGUUCCAAUCCAGCUUCAGCUCCAGAGACGGCAGGUGGGACGAGUCAACGGAGGCCGGGUGGACGAAGGCAU
ensembl:lncRNA